ensembl:snRNA U6 U6 spliceosomal RNA
UGUACUAAAAUUGUACAUGUACGAGACAGAGAUUAGCAUGAUACAGAGAUUAGCAUGGCCCCUGUGCAAGGGUGACAUGCAGUUCGUGAAGGGUUUCAUAUUUUU